rnacentral:rRNA from 1 species
GCGGCGAACGGGUGAGUAACACGUGAGCAACCUGCCCUAGGCUUUGGGAUAACCCUCGGAAACGGGGGCUAAUACCGAAUAGGACUGCUGGUCGCAUGACUGGUGGUGGAAAGUUUUUCGGCCUGGGAUGGGCUCGCGGCCUAUCAGCUUGUUGGUGGGGUGAUGGCCUACCAAGGCGACGACGGGUAGCCGGCCUGAGAGGGCGACCGGCCACACUGGGACUGAGACACGGCCCAGACUCCUACGGGAGGCAGCAGUGGGGAAUAUUGCACAAUGGGCGGAAGCCUGAUGCAGCGACGCCGCGUGAGGGAUGACGGCCUUCGGGUUGUAAACCUCUUUCAGCAGGGACGAAGCGUGAGUGACGGUACCUGCAGAAGAAGCGCCGGCCAACUACGUGCCAGCAGCCGCGGUAAGACGUAGGGCGCGAGCGUUGUCCGGAUUUAUUGGGCGUAAAGAGCUCGUAGGCGGCUUGUCGCGUCGACCGUGAAAACUUGGGGCUCAACCCCAAGCCUGCGGUCGAUACGGGCAGGCUAGAGUUCGGUAGGGGAGACUGGAAUUCCUGGUGUAGCGGUGAAAUGCGCAGAUAUCAGGAGGAACACCGGUGGCGAAGGCGGGUCUCUGGGCCGAUACUGACGCUGAGG